AUGGCACAACCUAAUGUCAACAUCAUCUGUUGGAACGUUCAAGGCCUAAACUCGCGUGCACGCCGGGAUGCCGUUCGGGACAUCGUCCGAGACUCUCAUGCCUCCAUUGUCUGCCUCCAAGAGAUGAAACUCCAGGCUGUUGAUGACGCCAUCAUCCGCGAGAUGCUCGGCCUGAAUUUCGUCGCGAACUACUAUAUCCUCCCGGCCAACGGCACCCGCGGGGGCUUGAUU
rnacentral:rRNA from 1 species